rnacentral:rRNA from 1 species
UUAAGCGAAUAAGCGUACACGGUGGAUGCCCUGGCAGUCAGAGGCGAUGAAGGGCGUGCUAAUCUGCGAUAAGCGCCGGUAAGGUGAUAUGAACCGUUAUAACCGGCGAUACCCGAAUGGGGAAACCCAGUGUGACUCGUCACACUAUCAUUAACUGAAUCCAUAGGUUAAUGAGGCGAACCGGGGGAACUGAAACAUCUAAGUACCCCGAGGAAAAGAAAUCAACCGAGAUUCCCCCAGUAGCGGCGAGCGAACGGGGAGGAGCCCAGAGCCUGAAUCAGCAUGUGUGUUAGUGGAAGCGUCUGGAAAGGCGCGCGAUACAGGGUGACAGCCCCGUACACAAAAGCGCAUGUGCUGUGAGCUCGAUGAGUAGGGCGGGACACGUGGUAUCCUGUCUGAAUAUGGGGGGACCAUCCUCCAAGGCUAAAUACUCCUGACUGACCGAUAGUGAACCAGUACCGUGAGGGAAAGGCGAAAAGAACCCCGGCGAGGGGAGUGAAAAAGAACCUGAAACCGUGUACGUACAAGCAGUGGGAGCACCCUUCGGGGUGUGACUGCGUACCUUUUGUAUAAUGGGUCAGCGACUUAUAUUCUGUAGCAAGGUUAACCGUAUAGGGGAGCCGGAGGGAAACCGAGUCUUAAUUGGGCGUUAAGUUGCAGGGUAUAGACCCGAAACCCGGUGAUCUAGCCAUGGGCAGGUUGAAGGUUGGGUAACACUAACUGGAGGACCGAACCGACUAAUGUUGAAAAAUUAGCGGAUGACCUGUGGCUGGGGGUGAAAGGCCAAUCAAACCGGGAGAUAGCUGGUUCUCCCCGAAAGCUAUUUAGGUAGCGCCUCGUGAAUUCAUCUCCGGGGGUAGAGCACUGUUUCGGCUAGGGGGUCAUCCAGACUUACCAACCCGAUGCAAACUGCGAAUACCGGAGAAUGUUAUCACGGGAGACACACGGCGGGUGCUAACGUCCGUCGUGAAGAGGGAAACAACCCAGACCGCCAGCUAAGGUCCCAAAGUCAUGGUUAAGUGGGAAACGAUGUGGGAAGGCCCAGACAGCCAGGAUGUUGGCUUAGAAGCAGCCAUCAUUUAAAGAAAGCGUAAUAGCUCACUGGUCGAGUCGGCCUGCGCGGAAGAUGUAACGGGGCUAAACCAUGCACCGAAGCUGCGGCAGCGACGCUUAUGCGUUGUUGGGUAGGGGAGCGUUCUGUAAGCCUGUGAAGGUGGCCUGUGAGGGUUGCUGGAGGUAUCAGAAGUGCGAAUGCUGACAUAAGUAACGAUAAAGCGGGUGAAAAGCCCGCUCGCCGGAAGACCAAGGGUUCCUGUCCAACGUUAAUCGGGGCAGGGUGAGUCGACCCCUAAGGCGAGGCCGAAAGGCGUAGUCGAUGGGAAACGGGUUAAUAUUCCCGUACUUGGUGUUACUGCGAAGGGGGGACGGAGAAGGCUAUGUUGGCCGGGCGACGGUUGUCCCGGUUUAAGCGUGUAGGUGUGUGUUCCAGGUAAAUCCGGUUCACUUUAACACUGAGGCGUGACGACGAGGCACUACGGUGCUGAAGCAACAAAUGCCCUGCUUCCAGGAAAAGCCUCUAAGCAUCAGGUAACAUCAAAUCGUACCCCAAACCGACACAGGUGGUCAGGUAGAGAAUACCAAGGCGCUUGAGAGAACUCGGGUGAAGGAACUAGGCAAAAUGGUGCCGUAACUUCGGGAGAAGGCACGCUGACAUGUAGGUGAAGUGAUUUACUCAUGGAGCUGAAGUCAGUCGAAGAUACCAGCUGGCUGCAACUGUUUAUUAAAAACACAGCACUGUGCAAACACGAAAGUGGACGUAUACGGUGUGACGCCUGCCCGGUGCCGGAAGGUUAAUUGAUGGGGUCAGCGCAAGCGAAGCUCCUGAUCGAAGCCCCGGUAAACGGCGGCCGUAACUAUAACGGUCCUAAGGUAGCGAAAUUCCUUGUCGGGUAAGUUCCGACCUGCACGAAUGGCGUAAUGAUGGCCAGGCUGUCUCCACCCGAGACUCAGUGAAAUUGAACUCGCUGUGAAGAUGCAGUGUACCCGCGGCAAGACGGAAAGACCCCGUGAACCUUUACUAUAGCUUGACACUGAACAUUGAGCCUUGAUGUGUAGGAUAGGUGGGAGGCUUUGAAGUGUGGACGCCAGUCUGCAUGGAGCCGACCUUGAAAUACCACCCUUUAAUGUUUGAUGUUCUAACGUGGACCCGUUACCCGGGUUGCGGACAGUGUCUGGUGGGUAGUUUGACUGGGGCGGUCUCCUCCUAAAGAGUAACGGAGGAGCACGAAGGUUGGCUAAUCCUGGUCGGACAUCAGGAGGUUAGUGCAAUGGCAUAAGCCAGCUUGACUGCGAGCGUGACGGCGCGAGCAGGUGCGAAAGCAGGUCAUAGUGAUCCGGUGGUUCUGAAUGGAAGGGCCAUCGCUCAACGGAUAAAAGGUACUCCGGGGAUAACAGGCUGAUACCGCCCAAGAGUUCAUAUCGACGGCGGUGUUUGGCACCUCGAUGUCGGCUCAUCACAUCCUGGGGCUGAAGUAGGUCCCAAGGGUAUGGCUGUUCGCCAUUUAAAGUGGUACGCGAGCUGGGUUUAGAACGUCGUGAGACAGUUCGGUCCCUAUCUGCCGUGGGCGCUGGAGAACUGAGGGGGGCUGCUCCUAGUACGAGAGGACCGGAGUGGACGCAUCACUGGUGUUCGGGUUGUCAUGCCAAUGGCACUGCCCGGUAGCUAAAUGCGGAAGAGAUAAGUGCUGAAAGCAUCUAAGCACGAAACUUGCCCCGAGAUGAGUUCUCCCUGAGACUUAGAGUCUCCUGAAGGAACGUUGAAGACGACGACGUUGAUAGGCCGGGUGUGUAAGCGCAGCGAUGCGUUGAGCUAACCGGUACUAAUGAACCGUGAGGCUUAACCUU